AAUUCUCAACCCUUUCAGCUUUUGCGAGCUGGAUUGGCUUGGAUGUGGGGGUUUGCGGGCUUCUCAGAAGUCGGCUCCUCUUAAAUACAUUAGCGGAACCUUUGUGGACCAGCUUUGGUGUGAUAAUUAUCUACGCCAUGGUUGUGAAGCAGCUUUAUAUGGGGUUCAGCUUCUAACCGUCCAUUGACUUGGACAAUUUCUGACA
rnacentral:misc_RNA from 1 species